ACGGAAGUCUCUUUUACUUCCUUCUCAUCCUCAAAUCAAGUAACCUUUAAAUGACCAAGUUAGGGGAGUCAGUGAGACACUGUACUCCGUGCCAUUUUCAUC